GGUCGCUUGGCCUCUGUGUGUCCUAGUGUUUUUGUCGGUGAGAUGGGACAAUGACAGCACACUUUCACAGGUGCCGGGGGCUGACCAAUGUCAGGUCUCAGGACAGUGGCUGGCCCAUUAGGGGGCCCGUUCCCCUUCUCUAUAGUCACCCUGCUCGUCUUCCAUCAACUAGGUGCUCAGGACAGUGGCGUGGAGGAUCCGCCUGUACAGCCUGUGCUCCAGCAUCCUGCAGGCCACAGCUGUGUCCAGCCCUGACCCCAACUGCCCCUCCCGCCACCUCCAUUUUACAGAUGAGGAAACCGAGGCCCAAGGGCUUAGGGAACCCUGCUCUGAAGCACAUAGUAGGGCUGCUGGGCUCAGACCCUCCCUGCCUGUGCUGACCUGCCCUCCUCCUGCCGCAAGCCCCCAAUGCCCCGAGCCCACCCUGCUCACCGGCCUCUGCCCGAGUUCCCCGCAUGGUGUGGGAGUGUGGGGCAUCCUAGCUUUUCCCCGGCACCCAGUUCUUUCACUUUCACUGGAGUCCUGCAGGGACAGCUCGGGGACCAUGCAGGCCCGGGUGGGCGUCGGGGCUCACCUAGCUCCGUGGUGAACAGCUGGCACGUCUCUGGGUUGCGGACGGUAAAGGCCAUGUAGACCUCAGGAGCCCGCUUGUGCUCUUGGCAGGCAGCCAGCCUCCACAGAACCCCGACCAGUGACACGAUGGCUUCUGGGCAAUACAGCAAGUCUACGGUGAAAGCUUCAGGUUACUGAAAGGGACAAGUGGAAAGUUCCAGUUCAUGCUGACCUCAGCAGCAGGGCGAGGCCAGAGAGGCAGCGGUCCUAUGAGACUAUUAGAUGCCACUUGACCAUUUGGGCCAUUAGAUGGAAAGGCAAUUACUUGGGUGAAAAAGGAGAACCCUUAGUAGAGAAAGCUGCAAAAGACCGAAGCAAAAGAAAAAAAUCUCCAGACUCACUGGUGUUCCUUAAAAAACCAGCUCUGGUUCUCGGCCUAUCUAGGGGGCUUUGAAUGACAGAAAGCCUGACCCUGCCGUGAACUUCGUGUUUCAGGUGUCUGCCGAUUGGUCUGCUGGCUUGCAGGGGUGGGCCUGUGUCCCUGGCCACCGCUGGACCUGUGGGUUUCAGGGCUGGGACCCAGGACCACAGGCAGAGCUCUGUUCCACCAGAGAGGGGACUGAGUGUGCUGUCAGGGGUGAGGGGUUUUUGGUGGCCCAGCCAAACACCACCUUCUCUCAAGGGCCCUGUCCUCAUCCCAGAACUGGUUGUUUUCCUCCUGUGGUCUCUGAAGGACACAGGGCAUGGCUCUGGGACACAGCCAUGUGGUGACGACUGUAACGGGAGUAUGCCUGUCUCCAACAAGAGGGCUGUGGCUUGAAGGUCACCUUAAGAGGCACCCCUGUCCUUUGAUGUCACCCUGGAGGCCCAGAGUAACUCUUCUGGAAGCCCCAUCAUGUCCAUGCCCGACAGGGUCCAUUGUUCCCUUUUCCCAGAGCCAAGAGCUGGGUAGAGCUGCAAGGACACCGCCUGCACAGGAUGCCCGGGGCUGGGCAUUACCUGCUGCAAUGACAACAUCUGGCUGGAAGGCAGAGAGCUGAUGGACCAUCGCUACGUCCCAGUCCAGCUGGGCCACUGUCACCCUGGGGCUGUCUAAGUUGGCAGUGAUGUCUGCCUCUAAUGAGAGGCCAUUGAGAAGGACAUUCCCUCGGAGCUGCUCGAGGAGCCGGCUGUGACAGUCGCUGAAGAUGUAUGCCCGGGGGUGGCACAUCUUGCAGACGGACAGGCCUGUAAGGCCGGCGCCACUGCCAAGCUCUAGGACCGUCCUGGCGGGAGGAAAGGGGACCGUGUCUUCGACUGCACCAGGGUAAGCCUGCCUCGGUGCCCUGCCCUGUGCCCCGAGGUCACCUGUUAGUGAAGGCUGCCGGGUUCUCGAUGACCCAUUCUGCAAGGUAGACUGCGGCUGCCCUGUGCCCCAAGGUCACCUGUUAGUGAAGGCUACCGGGUUUUCGAUGGCCCGUUCUGCAAGGUAGAGGGCGGCGUCCCAUGUGACCAGGCCUGUGGUACCGUGGGAGAUGAUGGCUGUGCUCUCGGAGAAUGUGACCGACCCUUCCGAGGGCUGCACCAAGAGAGGGCGAGACAGUAAGUCCAGCAAUCAGAAAACAAGUGGCUUAGAAGACAAGUAGCCAUCCACCACAUGGCUGAAUAAAGCAUGACAGGACCAAUCGCCACUCAGCAAUGAGAAGCAGCUAACUGUUGACAUACCAACAGCUUGCACGGGCCUCAAGGGUGUCACGUGGCAUGAAAGACACUCAUCUCAGGCCACACAGGAUUCUAUUCAUCGAACAUUCCUGAGACAACGGAAUUCUGGCGAUGGAGCACAGAAACUCCUGGAGGGCAGAGGCAGGCCUGCCAUCUUCAUCAUUGCAUUACCACCACCCAACACUAUCGGGGGACCUGCCCUGAUAAUCAGUCUACAGGUGUAUUCAGCAGCUCCAGAGAGACAGCGACCAGCGAGAAGGGGCCAUGAUGAUGGUGGUGGUUUUGUCAAAACGAAAAUGGGGAUAUGUAGGGAAAAGAAAGAGAGAUCAGACUGUUACUGUGUCUACAUAGAAAGGGAAGACAUAAGAGACUCCAUUUUGGAAAAGACCUGUACUUUAAAGAAUUGCUUUGCUGAGAUGUUGUUAAUCUGUAGCUUUGCCCCAGCCACUUUGCCCCAACCACUUUGACCCAAUCUGGAGCUCACAAAAACAUGUGUUGUAUGAAAUCAAGGUUUAAGGCAUGUAGGGCUGUGCAGGAUGUGUCUUGUUAACCAAAUGUUUGCAAGCAGUAUACUUGGUAAAAGUCAUCACCAUUCUCUCGUCUCAAUAAACCAGGGUCACAAUGCACUGUGGAAAGCCGCAGGGACCUCUGCCCUUGAAAGCUGGGUAUUGUCCAAAGUCUCUCCCCAUGUGAUAGUCUGAAAUAUGGCCUCGUGGGAUGAGAAAGACCUGACGGUCCCCCAGCGCGACACCCAUAAAAGGUCUGUGCUGAGGUGGAUUAGUCAAAGAGGAAAGACUCUUGCCGUUGAGAUAGAGGAAGGCCACUGUCUCCUGACUGCCCCUGGGAACUGAAUGUCUCGGUAUAAAACACGAUUGUACAUUUGUUCAAUUCUGAGAUGGGAGAAAAACCGCCCUAUGGUGGGAGGCGAGACAUGUUUACAGCAAUGCCGCCUUGUUAUUCUUUACUCCACUGAGAUGUUUGAGUGGAGAGAAACAUAAAUCUGGCUUACAUGCACGUCCAGUCAUAGUACCUUCCCUUGAACUCCAUUAUGACAUAGAUUCUAUUGCUCACAUGUUUGUUGCUGACUUUCUCCUUAUUAUCACCCUGCCCUCCUACUACAUUCCUUUUUGCUGAAAUAAUGAAGAUAAUAAUCAAUAAAAAAC
rnacentral:lncRNA from 1 species